rnacentral:rRNA from 1 species
GUGGUAUACAGGUGGUGCAUGGUUGUCGUCAGCUCGUGUCGUGAGAUGUUGGGUUAAGUCCCGCAACGAGCGCAACCCUCGUUCUAUGUUGCCAGCACGUAAUGGUGGGAACUCAUAGGAGACUGCCGGGGUCAACUCGGAGGAAGGUGGGGAUGACGUCAAAUCAUCAUGCCCCUUAUGUCUUGGGCUUCACGCAUGCUACAAUGGCCGGUACAAAGGGCUGCGAUACCGCAAGGUGGAGCGAAUCCCAAAAAGCCGGUCUCCAGUUCGGAUUGAGGUGUGCAACUCGAGCCUCCAUGAAGUCGGAGUCGCUAGUAAUCGCAGAUCAGCAACGCUGCGGA